rnacentral:rRNA from 1 species
CCUACGGGAGGCAGCAGUGAGGAAUAUUGGUCAAUGGACGAGAGUCUGAACCAGCCAAGUCGCGUGAAGGAUGACUGCCCUCUGGGUUGUAAACUUCUUUUAUGUGGGAAUAAAACAGGGUAUGCAUACCCUCUGGUAUGUACCAUAUGAAUAAGGAACGGCUAACUCCGUGCCAGCAGCCGCGGUAAUACGGAGGAUCCGAGCGUUAUCCGGAUUUAUUGGGUUUAAAGGGAGCGCAGGUGGAUUGUUAAGUCAGUUGUGAAAGUUUGCGGCUCAACCGGAAAAUUGCAGUUGAAACUGGCAGUCUUGAGUACAGUAGAGGUGGGUGGAAUUCGUGGUGUAGCGGUGAAAUGCUUAGAUAUCACGAAGAACUCCGAUGGCGAAGGCAGAUCACUGGACUGCAACUGACACUGAUGCUCGAAAGUGUGGGUAGCAAACAGGAUUAGAUACCCGGGUAGUC